CACCGACGAAAAUGCAGAUGAUCUCCAAAGACCACAGAGAAAGGGACAGUCCAACCUUGUGCCCAUUUGUGGGGCUGAUCACUCAGUCUCUGGGCAGAACCAGUUAAGUUCUCUGCCUAGCAUUGCUCCUGAGAAAAACAGAUCCUUCCUAUUUGUGUGGGGCUUUGCAGAUAAUGGGGCACUUCUAAGUCCACAUGGGAUUUUAUCCUCGAAGUAACUCUGGGUGGUAAACAGGCCCCUGAAAGACAUGGGAACAGGAAAGUGAAACUGGUGCCAGAAGGAGUCGCCUCAUGCUGUGGUACAGGAUUUCACAUUUGAGCAGGCACCAGAAUUCCCCGGAGGGCUUCUCAAGAUGCAAAUUGGUGGGCCCUGCCCCCAAGUUCCUGGUUCAGUAGGUCUGGGCUAGGGCCCAUGAAUUUUGAUUUCUCAGGAGUCCCGGGGUUCAAAAUGCCAGUCCAGGGACCACGCUUUGAAAACUACUGCUAUUGUGCCAUGGUCCUAUCCCAGCCUACUGAUACAAUGAGUUAGGGCUUUUUGUUUUCUCUGACCCGGUGGACUCCUUACCCUAUUAGGACCAUUUGACCAGCUGUGUCUGUUCACUGAUUUGUAUCAUUAUCACUUUUAUCCUUUGUGCAGCUUUUAUCCAUCUGCUGGUUUGAUAGUAAAUCAGAGUGGAGGCAUCAGCGGAGUCGAAGCUGACAUUCUCUCCCUGACUCUGCAUCGGACUGUGGUGUGCCCGGAUUGUGAUCUGGCCAAGCUCACUGGGUCUUCAAGUCAUGGCAGAGACAAAAGCUUUGGCAACUGAAUAACACCCUGAACAAUAAUCCACUGUUGGGUUUCCUGGCUCUAUCAUACAUCAGUGGACAGUCAUGGGCAAGUUCCUGAACUUCUCCGAGCCUCAGGCUUUCUUAUCUCUAAGUGGGUAAGUUCAUGUGUGCCUUGGGGGACUGCUAUAAGGAUUAAAGGAAGGAACUGCGCGUAACUAGCUAGGGAACAGAGAAGCCCAGCAGCAAAUUUUAGUUACCAUUUCUUUCUUUUUUAAAAAGAUUUUAUUUAUUUAUUCAUAAGAAACACACAGAGAGAGGCAGAGACAUAGGCAGAGGGAGAAGCAGGCUCUCUGUGGGGAGCCUGAUGCAGUACUCUAUCCCAGAACCCCCGAGAUCACACGACCUGAGCCAAAGGCAGACGCUCAACCACUGAGCCACCCAGGUGUUCCACAAACGUUAGGUACCUUUUCUAUAGAAACAGGAGGAUAGGGCAGCCUGAGUGGCUCAGUGGUUUAGUACCGCCUUUGGCCCAGGGCGUGAUCCUGGGGACCCAAGAUCAAGUCCCACAUUGGGCUCCCUGCAUGGAGCUUGCUUCUCCUUCUGCCUGUGUCUCUGCCUCUCUCUCUCUCUGUGACUCUCAUGAAUAAAAUAAAUAAAAUCUUAAAAAAAAAAAGAAAC
rnacentral:lncRNA from 12 species